rfam:Taeniopygia guttata chromosome Z, whole genome shotgun sequence.
UCUUGUGGCUUCCAUGCAGAAGUGCACAGAAACAGCUAUUUGCAAUUAAGAAGUUGGCUGUUACUGUUUUUCUGAUGGAUGCUGUUGGA